CAGCCCUGAGGGUGCUCAUGGCCAGAAAAAGCCUGGAACUCAAAAUGGGAGCCCAGCCCGUGGCAGUGAAGCAUUCCCAGGAGCAAGGGACACUUCAGGAACAGGCCUGGUGCCACCAGUGCCACCCCAUGGGGCCUGAGAAAAUCCUGCAGACACAAAGGGAGCUGAGUUCCCCCAUACCUGAGCUGCCUGCACUCAGGAGGCAGCACAGAGACAUCCUGAGGAGCAGAGAAUUAGUCCAGCCAAAACUGAGUGCAAGGAAACCUUUCCAGAAAGGACUGAUUCAAUGAGAUGAUGAGAAGAGCAGUGCCUGAUGACCUGGCACACACACCCCGGGCAAGCAAGAAACAAAAACAACUUUUCCUUUAGAGCUUGGAAACUUAAGGGGUUUUUUGUGCUUCAAUAUCAAAGACAACAAAUUCACAAUAUGCCCCUGCACAAAGGAUACUGGAAAACAUUGAUUUCAGGAUUAUUCAAUAA